rnacentral:rRNA from 1 species
UACAGAGGGUGCGAGCGUUAAUCGGAAUUACUGGGCGUAAAGCGUGCGUAGACGGCUAUCUAAGUCGGGUGUGAAAGCUCCGGGCUCAACCUGGGAAUUGCAUUCGAGACUGAAUAGCUAGGGUACGGUAGAGGGAAGUGGAAUUUCGGGUGUAGCGGUGAAAUGCGUAGAUAUCGGAAGGAACAUCAGUGGCGAAAGCGACUUCCUGGACCAGUACCGACGUUCAGGCACGAAAGCGUGGGGAGCAAACAGG